UGGGGAAUCUUCCGCAAUGGACGAAAGUCUGACGGAGCAACGCCGCGUGAGUGAUGACGGCCUUCGGGUUGUAAAGCUCUGUUAAUCGGGACGAAUGGCUCUUGUGCGAAUAGUGCAAGGAUUUGACGGUACCGGAAUAGAAAGCCACGGCUAACUACGUGCCAGCAGCCGCGGUAAUACGUAGGUGGCAAGCGUUGUCCGGAAGUAUUGGGCGGAAAGCGCGCGCAGGCGGAUUGGUCCGUCUGUCUUAAAAGUUCGGGGCUUAACCCCGAUAUGGGAUGGAAACUGCGAAUCUAGAGUAUCGGAGAGGGAAGUGGAAUUCCUAGUGUAGCGGUGAAAUGCGUAGAUAUGAGGAAGAACACCAGUGGCGAAGGCGACGUUCUGGACGAAGACUGACGCUGAGGCGCAAAAGCCAGGGGAGCGAACGGG
rnacentral:rRNA from 1 species